UACGGGGGGGGCAAGCGUUGUUCGGAAUUACUGGGCGUAAAGGGCUCGUAGGCGGCCUACUAAGUCAGACGUGAAAUCCCCCGGCUUAACCUGGGAACUGCGUCUGAUACUGGAAGGCUUGAGGAUGGGAGAGGGAUGUAGAAUUCCAGGUGUAGCGGUGAAAUGCGGUAGAUAUCUGGAGGAAUACCGGUGGCGAAGGCGGCAUCCUGGACCAUUACUGACGCUGAGGCGGCGAAAAGCGGUGGGGAGCCGAACAGG
rnacentral:rRNA from 1 species